rnacentral:lncRNA from 1 species
AACCAUAUCCCUUCGACAUGAUGUCCUUCCUACAGAAACCAGUCUCAAUGUUUCUCCAAGUCCUUUUUUUUCUCCUUCUAAUGUGCUUUCCUUCUUUCUUUGCCUUUCCUCCUAAUUCCUCUGCAACUUCAUUUGGUGCUGCCAAAUAUGUAGCUGCUGAAGGUAAUAAAGAAGCGGAGGCUCUCCUAAAAUGGAAAGCAAGUCUUGAUGGCA